GUGUCAGCCGCCGCGGUAAUACGGAGGGUGCGAGCGUUGUCCGGAAUCACUGGGCGUAAAGGGCGCGUAGGCGGCGCGAGCAGUCGAUCGUGAAAGUCCGGAGCUCAACUCCGGAUCGGCGGUCGAUACUCUCGUGCUUGAGCACUGUAGAGGCAGAUGGAAUUCCGGGUGUAGCGGUGGAAUGCGUAGAGAUCCGGAAGAACACCGGUGGCGAAGGCGGUCUGCUGGGCAGUUGCUGACGCUGAUGCGCGACAGCGUGGGGAGCAAACAGGAUUAGAUACCCGGGUAGUCC
rnacentral:rRNA from 1 species